rnacentral:rRNA from 1 species
AGAACCCCGGCGAGGGGAGUGAAAAAGAACCUGAAACCGUGUACGUACAAGCAGUGGGAGCACGCUUAGGCGUGUGACUGCGUACCUUUUGUAUAAUGGGUCAGCGACUUAUAUUCUGUAGCAAGGUUAACCGAAUAGGGGAGCCGAAGGGAAACCGAGUCUUAACUGGGCGUUAAGUUGCAGGGUAUAGACCCGAAACCCGGUGAUCUAGCCAUGGGCAGGUUGAAGGUUGGGUAACACUAACUGGAGGACCGAACCGACUAAUGUUGAAAAAUUAGCGGAUGACUUGUGGCUGGGGGUGAAAGGCCAAUCAAACCGGGAGAUAGCUGGUUCUCCCCGAAAGCUAUUUAGGUAGCGCCUCGUGAAUUCAUCUCCGGGGGUAGAGCACUGUUUCGGCAAGGGGGUCAUCCCGACUUACCAACCCGAUGCAAACUGCGAAUACCGGAGAAUGUUAUCACGGGAGACACACGGCGGGUGCUAACGUCCGUCGUGAAGAGGGAAACAACCCAGACCGCCAGCUAAGGUCCCAAAGUCAUGGUUAAGUGGGAAACGAUGUGGGAAGGCCCAGACAGCCAGGAUGUUGGCUUAGAAGCAGCCAUCAUUUAAAGAAAGCGUAAUAGCUCACUGGUCGAGUCGGCCUGCGCGGAAGAUGUAACGGGGCUAAACCAUGCACCGAAGCUGCGGCAGCGACGCUUAUGCGUUGUUGGGUAGGGGAGCGUUCUGUAAGCCUGCGAAGGUGUGCUGUGAGGCAUGCUGGAGGUAUCAGAAGUGCGAAUGCUGACAUAAGUAACGAUAAAGCGGGUGAAAAGCCCGCUCGCCGGAAGACCAAGGGUUCCUGUCCAACGUUAAUCGGGGCAGGGUGAGUCGACCCCUAAGGCGAGGCCGAAAGGCGUAGUCGAUGGGAAACAGGUUAAUAUUCCUGUACUUGGUGUUACUGCGAAGGGGGGACGGAGAAGGCUAUGUUGGCCGGGCGACGGUUGUCCCGGUUUAAGCGUGUAGGCUGGUUUUCCAGGCAAAUCCGGAAAACUAAGGCUGAGGCGUGAUGACGAGGCACUACGGUGCUGAAGCAACAAAUGCCCUGCUUCCAGGAAAAGCCUCUAAGCAUCAGGUAACAUCAAAUCGUACCCCAAACCGACACAGGUGGUCAGGUAGAGAAUACCAAGGCGCUUGAGAGAACUCGGGUGAAGGAACUAGGCAAAAUGGUGCCGUAACUUCGGGAGAAGGCACGCUGAUAUGUAGGUGAAGUCCCUCGCGGAUGGAGCUGAAAUCAGUCGAAGAUACCAGCUGGCUGCAACUGUUUAUUAAAAACACAGCACUGUGCAAACACGAAAGUGGACGUAUACGGUGUGACGCCUGCCCGGUGCCGGAAGGUUAAUUGAUGGGGUUAGCGCAAGCGAAGCUCUUGAUCGAAGCCCCGGUAAACGGCGGCCGUAACUAUAACGGUCCUAAGGUAGCGAAAUUCCUUGUCGGGUAAGUUCCGACCUGCACGAAUGGCGUAAUGAUGGCCAGGCUGUCUCCACCCGAGACUCAGUGAAAUUGAACUCGCUGUGAAGAUGCAGUGUACCCGCGGCAAGACGGAAAGACCCCGUGAACCUUUACUAUAGCUUGACACUGAACAUUGAGCCUUGAUGUGUAGGAUAGGUGGGAGGCUUGGAAGUGUGGACGCCAGUCUGCAUGGAGCCGACCUUGAAAUACCACCCUUUAAUGUUUGAUGUUCUAACGUUGACCCGUAAUCCGGGUUGCGGACAGUGUCUGGUGGGUAGUUUGACUGGGGCGGUCUCCUCCUAAAGAGUAACGGAGGAGCACGAAGGUUGGCUAAUCCUGGUCGGACAUCAGGAGGUUAGUGCAAUGGCAUAAGCCAGCUUGACUGCGAGCGUGACGGCGCGAGCAGGUGCGAAAGCAGGUCAUAGUGAUCCGGUGGUUCUGAAUGGAAGGGCCAUCGCUCAACGGAUAAAAGGUACUCCGGGGAUAACAGGCUGAUACCGCCCAAGAGUUCAUAUCGACGGCGGUGUUUGGCACCUCGAUGUCGGCUCAUCACAUCCUGGGGCUGAAGUAGGUCCCAAGGGUAUGGCUGUUCGCCAUUUAAAGUGGUACGCGAGCUGGGUUUAGAACGUCGUGAGACAGUUCGGUCCCUAUCUGCCGUGGGCGCUGGAGAACUGAGGGGGGCUGCUCCUAGUACGAGAGGACCGGAGUGGACGCAUCACUGGUGUUCGGGUUGUCAUGCCAAUGGCACUGCCCGGUAGCUAAAUGCGGAAGAGAUAAGUGCUGAAAGCAUCUAAGCACGAAACUUGCCCCGAGAUGAGUUCUCCCUGACUCCUUGAGAGUCCUGAAGGAACGUUGAAGACGACGACGUUGAUAGGCCGGGUGUGUAAGCGCAGCGAUGCGUUGAGCUAACCGGUACUAAUGAACCGUGAGGCUUAACCUU